CACGGGAGUGGGAAACUCGUCGUCCGCCGCCCGUCGACAGCGAGAUUUUGACCAGAAGUCGUCCUCCAGAGAACGAGUUUCGACAGCGAUAGCGAAACGAGAACUUUUUAUUUGGAAAGGAAACACGAAACUAUGCUUCUCAGAGAAGUACUGGUUGAAGAGCCUCACAAGUACUGACCAGACUUAAAAGAGAGAGGUAUAUCUUGGACGAAAAUCGCCGAACACUAUGAUAAAACCUUGAACACUGAAACAUUUUAUUAGCUUCUCAUUAAUUAUUGUCA